rnacentral:lncRNA from 1 species
CACAGGUUCCAGGGAUCAAGACGUGGAGCAUAUUUGUGAGGCCAACACACUUCGUACCACCUUGAGUGAAUUAACUGACAAAAAGGUGGGAUAUCAUUUACCAAAGCCAAGCCAUUUGAGGAGUCAUUCCACUCCAUGGAAUCUAAAUUUUCAGACCAAAUAUCAUCACUGAGUUUCACAAUGAAGCAAUUAUGGCAGUACCAAAGAAGAAAGUCAAGGGGAAUAAAUGGAAAGAAACAAACGUGAG